rnacentral:lncRNA from 1 species
AAAUUUUACCAGAGUACUCAAGACUCAUGUAGGGACUUACUAUAAAAUGUUCAAAGCUAUUAGACAUCGAAAAACCGUCAAUCACAGUAGGUCAGUAGGCCUACGAGAUUCACCAAAAUCUCAUCUCAAACUCUUUAAAUGCUCAAGAUUAUAUAAUUAACUGCUGAAAUAGAAAUUUUAUUAAAAAAGAAAGAAAGAAAAAACAGGACCUAAAAAACCAAGUGCACACAGACGCAAACAAGGGGCCGGAUCACAAAGGAGCCGUGAAAAAACAAAACAAAACUGGACGAAUCAAAAAUCUAAGGGAACGUCCUCAUCCAAAGAAUCUUCAUCGUCCAACAUAUCUGCCCAUUUUUCUUUAGGUCGAGCAGUGUCAGUAGGAGAAUGGGUCCCACUAGCCACGGCCGACAUAGCUCGAGCUGCAUCGGAAUGAGGGUGUAACACAAAAUUCUG